UCCAUAGUCCGCUCUGAGAGGCUUUUGCAA
rnacentral:piRNA from 1 species